CAAGUACUCCCUCCGUCCAGAAUUACUUGUCAUCAAAAUGGAUGUGUCUAGAACUAAAAUACAUCUAGAUACAUCCAUUUCAAUGACAAGUAUUUUCGGACGGAGGGAGUACAAG
rfam:Triticum aestivum genome assembly, contig: Triticum_aestivum_CS42_TGACv1_scaffold_354125_4DL